AGAAACUAACAAGGAUUCCCUUAGUAGCGGCGAGCGAACAGGGAAAAGCCCAGCNCUGAAUCCCGCGAUCAGAAAUGAACGCUGGGAAAUGUAGUGUUUAGGAAGAUCCAUUUAUCCUGAAUUUAUGUAAUAAGUUUAAGUCCACCUUGAAUGGGGCCACUGCCCGUAGAGGGUGCCAGGCCCGUAGGACUAUUACUAUUUUUGGGAGGAUCUUUCCUUAGAGUCGGGUUGCUUGAGAGUGCAGCUCUAAGUGGGUGGUAAACUCCAUCUAAGGCUAAAUAUAACCACGAGACCGAUAGCGAACAAGUACCGUGAG
rnacentral:rRNA from 1 species